UCUCUCUCUCUUUCUCUCUCAACUGUCACCCUCUGGAUCCAAGGAGCGCCUCAGGAACCUCUUAUAAGGACCAUCGCCCCCACCUGGAUUCUGACAAGUUGUUCCUGAGAAUGUCUCCCGUUUCCCACCAGAGAGUUUAUUUUGAUAAAAAAAACUUUUAAAAUGC